UCUCCUCAUCGUACGACGACGACACGGUGACGUUUGUGCUUCUUUUCAUCACCAAUCCAUUUCCAAUCAAACGUUCAGAUCAACUGGAAAGACAACAACGGAGACAUUCUUGAAUGAUGUCGGUCUCGAAUUGGGACGAGCGGAGCUUCGAUUUUGGCUAAUUGAUUUGUUUGGAAUUUCUGGGAUGCGAGGAACACGGCGAAGGGGCAUUUUAAUUGGUCUAUAACUCCUGCUUAUUGACGAACAGGUUAGAACUCUGUGUUGAUUAAUUUUACUGCUUCCAUUUGUUCCUAUUAACUAAUACCAUUCUGUGAAAGGCAACUGAGCGUGGACAAGAAUACAUUCUUAUUAUUUUCUUUGCAACAAAAAAAAAAAGAAAAGGUUCAGUUGGUGAUUUUGGAAAUAUGAAGAAGUGCAAGCAAGAAGCUUUAUCAGACAUUUAAUCUGCUAGAAGACUAAACAUUGUUAGAUGCAUCUGAUGGUACCAUUCAAUUGUGAGGAGGCGGUAGAGAAGUCGAUUUCAUUCUCCAGGUGGUGCGCUCCUUUGAGGACGACGAUAUUUAUCAUGUCGGUGGCAAAGUAAAUCCCACGUCUGACCUUGAUUUCAUCAAUCUCAAACUCAUUUUCUGCGACUUGGAUCAGAUUUGUAAAAUACUCGAGAGACUUACGAAAUGCAAGGCAAGAGGAUUCACAAUCUAAAGUCAAAGAAAACUAUUGUCUGAAUGCCUUUGGGAAAUUGAGAAAUUAAAAUUAUCUGAGAUGUCAAGCAAAUAAGGCGUCAUUGAAGUGGCGAAGAUAGUUUCAUUUUAGAGCAAGAUCUAAAGUGAGGUACAUGUGCAGCAUUUACAAGCUACACGAUGAAGCCAAAUACAAGGUCUUCAUGCGCUGGAUAUCUGAUGAGUCAAAAUGGGAGCACCAAUUUAAAUGUUGUUCUAAAGCUGGUGUAAAGAAAUGCUGUUCUAAAGCUUCCCAUAAACCAUGUUUUGUUCUUGGAUAUGAUCUUGCAACUUUGAAUUUAAUAAUUUAUUAUUUUGUUUGACUUAAUAAUUAUUAAGUUGUCAAAAUUCGUUUAUAAAAAAAUUAACAAUUA